rnacentral:rRNA from 1 species
CAAUAGCGUAUACUAAAGUUGUUGCGGUUAAAAAGCUCGUAGUUGAAAUUCUGGAGGGAUGUGCCGGUCGGCUGGCGAAAGUCGCUGUACAUGGUGCGGUCUCCAUGACCUUCUAGGACGAGCGUCGGCGCUUAAUUGAGCUGGCGUAGGGUUCGGCCUCACGGUCGGGUCCGUUCGUUCUAGAUCUUUUACUGUGAGAAAAUCGGAGUGUUCAAAGCAGGUAUUGCCAGAACGUGUUAGCAUGGAAUAAUGGAAUAGGACUUUGGACCUAUUUUGUUGGUUUAUAGGACCAGAGUAAUGAUUAAUAGGAACAGUUGGGGACAUUCGUACUUUGUGGUUAGAGGUAAAAUUCUUAGAUCCACGGAAGACGAACAUAUGCGAAAGCAUUUGUCAAGGAUGUUUNCAUUA